rfam:Agrilus planipennis Contig3086, whole genome shotgun sequence.
ACUUUGCACUUGAGUAUAGGUCGGAGUGACUGGCUGAAGAAGACCUUAAUUGGUCCUAGAACGGCCUGAGGUGGAGGGGUUUUAGUCGGUAGGUCCGAGGACUUCUUCCUCGGGAAUCCGACACUACCCAGUCGUACGGACGGCUGAGUGUCUUUUGAAGAUUUCCCCUCUUCCACGAAA